GCCUUCAUGAAGUCGGAAUUGCUAGUAACGGCAGGUCAGCAUACUGCCGUGAAUACGUUCCCGGGCCUUGUACACACCGCCCGUCACACCAUGAGAGUUGGGAAUACCCGAAGCCUGUGAGCCAACAAACGAGGCAGCAGUCGAAGGUAGAAUCAAUGAUUGGGGUGAAGUCGUAACAAGGUAAC
rnacentral:rRNA from 1 species